GGAAAAUAUCAGGAUUUAAAGUAAUGAAAAAGUAUUGAAAAAAAAGUAAUGAAAAUAAAGGAAAAGUAAUUAAAACUACCUGUAUGAAUAAGAGUUUAAAAAUGAGUCAUACAAUAUAGGUCAUUUGGAGACGUGUGUUAGGAAAAAUAAGUUUACAAGUUUGUAUCGUGAUAGUGUUAUAGCAAACUUGAGUUUGCUUUCUUCCUUGGAGGAAAUUAUGGGAAAGACCUAAGAUGUCUUUUCAGAAGAAAAGAUGCACUGUAGAGUCAAUGUUAUGUCACGAUAAUCAAUUCCAGCUCCUAAAUUAUUUUAAGUAAUUGACUAUAGCCUCAUAAAGAGAUAAAUAGGGAAAAGCUAAUAGAAAUUAUCAAACAGAUCUACCAUACAUCAAUUAUGCUAUUAUUAAUUUGUUCUUUUAAGAAUAAAUUGGUAUAAUUUCUUUACUAAGGUUACCUGAUUUAUGGGAUCUGAAGAUCGGUCAGAAAGAGAAUAAAUACUCCUUGUGCAGCUUAUUCAAACUCAGGAAAGAGAGGUCAAAAGGUGCGAACCGACUCCCAAGUAAAGCUGUAGAAUUUUUCUGCCACAAAAUUAAAGAAACCUGAAUUGUGCUAAUUUUCAAGUUCAUUGAACUGAUGAAAUAUUUUCAUUUCAUUGGAAAAAUAAAGAUAAGAGAAAACAGCAGUUCUAAAGAGGAGGACCUGUCACUUUUUGAAGUGUCUUAACUGAACAAUCAGACCUAACACCUGAAUGAAACUCCUUAGGAAGAAAGAUGAAGAUGAAAUUAACCUACAGCAGAAAGAAAGAAGUGAUAUCUUUUAACUCCAUCACACAUUGUUUGCAGACAGCUUUCACAAAAUAA
rnacentral:lncRNA from 1 species